CCUACGGGAGGCAGCAGUGAGGAAUAUUGGUCAAUGGACGAGAGUCUGAACCAGCCAAGUAGCGUGAAGGAUGACUGCCCUAUGGGUUGUAAACUUCUUUUAUAUGGGAAUAAAACGUUCCACGUGUGGGAUUUUGUAUGUACCAUAUUAAUAAGGAUCGGCUAACUCCGUGCCAGCAGCCGCGGUAAUACGGAGGAUCCGAGCGUUAUCCGGAUUUAUUGGGUUUAAAGGGAGCGUAGGUGGAUUGUUAAGUCAGUUGUGAAAGUUGGCGGCUAAACCGUAAAAUUGCAGUUGAAACUGGCAGUCUUGAGUACAGUAGAGGUGGGCGGAAUUAGUGGUGGAGCGGUGAAAUGCUUAGAUAUCACGAAGAACUCCGAUUGCGAAGGCAGUUCACUGGACUGCAACUGACACUGAGGCUCGAAAGUGUGGGUAUCAAACAGGAUUAGAUACCCGAGUAGUC
rnacentral:rRNA from 1 species